rnacentral:rRNA from 1 species
UACGUAGGUGGCAAGCGUUGUCCGGAAUUAUUGGGCGUAAAGCGCGCGCAGGCGGUUCUUUAAGUCUGAUGUGAAAGCCCACGGCUCAACCGUGGAGGGUCAUUGGAAACUGGAGAACUUGAGUACAGAAGAGGAAAGCGGAAUUCCACGUGUAGCGGUGAAAUGCGUAGAGAUGUGGAGGAACACCAGUGGCGAAGGCGGCAUUCUGGACUGCAACUGACACUGAAAGACGAAAGCCAGGGGAGCAAACGGG